GGUGUCGGAGCACCUGCAGGAGGGAAGAAGAAGCUGAUUUGGAACAUGGAAAAGCAACUGGUGGGAACCGAAAUAACACUGCUCCAUGGAAUUCAGAAACACAGAAGAGUCCUAGCAGUGGUUUUUUUCCUAGUGAGUGUGAAAAUCAGCCCAUUUCUGGCUAUUUCUGCUACAGCAAUCCCACAACCACUCUGAAUUUCAGAACUCAGCUACAGCUGCAAGUGACUUCUGAUUUUGAAAUGAGGCAAGGGUAACAAGGACGCCCAAGGCCUUAAUCCCAGGAGGCUGGACAAACCAGGCCACGAAGAAACCCCUGGAUCAGCAGAAACUAGAGUUUCCAGAAGCUUAACCAGACCUGAGUACGAGGAACAAAUCCAGAGGAUUCUCUUGCAAGGACUAAGGAACAAGGAUAUCCCAGGUGCAUUUUUACUAAGGUCAAUCAAGGGGUGAUCCCAAGGGCUGGAAUGUUGGUGGUGGGACAUCCUGAACCCACCCUGGCAAUAAAUCAGAGUUUCAGAUGUCGUCAGGCUCAGCACCACGAGGGACACGCCCGUUUUUGAACCCAGGCUCUUCCCAAGACCCAAAGGCUCUGCAGGCCAGGAGGGACAGGGAUCACUCACGUGGCCGGCAGACCGGGUACAGCUCCCACUCCUUCACGUACGACGCGUAGCCGUCGUCAAAGAAGAUCAGGAACCUGAAAAACAAAGGGGAAUUAGGAAUGGGAGCUGAAGAGAACACUCCUCACACCAUGGAAUGGAAAUGGAGAACCUCUCCUGCUCCUCCUGGACACAGCCCAGUCCUGGGUGAGGACAGAAUGAAGAGCUCCAAAUGCUCCCUGUGCUCUCCAUGGCUGCUCAAACACAACAAUUCCCAGCUAGACCCUUUUCCUCUGCUCCAAAUCCUCUCUGUGCCCCAGGAAAGGGAGACAAAGGAAGAGAAAAUGUUUAAUUGCGUCUGGUUUCUGCAGGGAAGAUGGAUAAGGCACCAACUUAGUGCCUCUGAGUAAUGACUCCAAGUCCUGGAGCUGUACAAAAGCUGCAGGAUGAGGGAUCAGCAUGACAACCAGGAGAAAAGUUGCAAUUUGAGUAUCAAAUUCAGCUCAUUUUCAGUUAUUAAACGGAUCAGAUAAAAUCCAACACAAUUUA